AUGGGCCACGCUUACACUGCGGUUCUGAGUGCGCCGUCCACACCCACCCGACGACGGUUCGCUGCGUGUUGUCAGCC
rnacentral:sRNA from 2 species